AAAGAAACGUGGGUUAAGUGGACUCUAUCAUCUUAGAAAAAAUGAAGAAACCAGAAAAAAUGAAGAAACCAGAAAAAACUGCUGCUGCUUCUUAUCAUCAACAUCUUUCAUUAUUACUUUUAUUUCUCUAUUGCAUUUUUGUAGCUGCAGAGAAAGAUUCAGUUGGGUAUGGCUACUCUGUUCGAUCAGUCGCUGUUGACUCCUCACUGAAGUCGUUGACUGCUGGACUUGGCCUCAUCAGGUCCUCCUCUGUUUACGGACCUGAUAUUCAGAGCCUCAAUCUUUUUGCCAGGUUUUAAAAUUUACAACUUAAUUGUUCCUUGCUUUUAUGUAUUGUUCACUGACUGUUGGACUAAGCAGUCAGCGAGAAAGACUUGUUUCAAGUUCUAAAUUCGAUAAGCUAGUGAUUUUUGAUGAUUUUUGGUUUGUGACUCUAAGAUUGAUUGAUCUGAUUAUGCUCUGUUUCCCUUCAGCUUUGAGACAAAAGACCGUUUGAGAGUUCGAAUAACAGAUUCCAAAAAACAAAGAUGGGAAAUCCCGCAGGAAAUCAUCCCCCGCCAAUCCUAUUGCACUCACUGCUGGCUGCCGGAAAACAGACUAAACUCACCGGUAAACCACCAAACAGGGCCGGGAAACCACUUCCUCUCCGACCCCACCUCAGACUUAGUCUUCACCCUCCACACCACCCCAUUUGGCUUCUCGGUCAAACGGCGAUCCUCCGGCGACAUUCUUUUCGACACAUCACCUGAAACCUCACACUCUGACACUUUCUUGGUGUUUAAGGAUCAAUACAUUCAACUCUCUUCAGCAUUACCAAUAGAAAGGUCUCAUCUGUAUGGAAUUGGAGAGCACACAAAGAAAUCAUUCAAGUUGACUCCCAAUGACACUCUAACUUUGUGGAAUGCUGACUUGGCCUCAGCAAAUGUUGAUGUUAAUCUCUAUGGCUCUCAUCCUUUUUAUAUUGAUGUGAGGUCGCCCAAUGGGACAACACAUGGUGUUCUGCUUCUUAACAGCAAUGGCAUGGAUGUCGUUUAUACUGGUGACAGGAUUAGUUACAAGGUUACUGGAGGGAUUAUUGAUUUGUAUUUUUUUGCCGGACCUUCGCCGGAUUCAGUCAUACAACAAUAUACAGAGUUAAUUGGUCGGCCUGCCCCUAUGCCAUAUUGGUCCUUUGGUAUCUUUUCUGUGAAUACCUGCUUACUUUGUUUUGAUAAGUUACGCUAAUACUUAUACACAAUUUAAUCAUUCUCUAUGUUGCAAUACGAUGGAUUGGAGUAAAUUAUUCGAAAAUUUCUUCAUUUUUGCCAUACAUUUGUUUGAGAUUAUACUAUACGGGUUGUACUUGUUGGCCACUUACCAUCAUGAGUUAUACAUUGUAGAGUAAGUUUGAGAAAAAGAAAAUAUAAAGUAUCCUUUCUUAUUUUACUUAGGCCUGUCUGUCAUUGUGGUUGGGUAACUAUAGGUUAAAAGUUACGGCACUAAAAUAUUUAGUACAUAUUAACUGUUGUGGCUUAGAAGUUAAGCUGAUUUAAUAUGCCGCUUGUAUAAUGAAAAACCUAAAAUAUCUUUAUUAUUUUUGUCAAAAUGAUUAUUUACUACGUACUAUUAAUUUUUAUUUCAUAAUCACAAUUAUUAUAACUUAAAAACUAUGGCACCUCACUACCAAACUAAGGCCUUAGUUACCUUAUUAACAAAUCAAAUAUAGAGUCACCACAAUUUGAUUUACUAGCUUUGAUAAGUUAUUCAUUCUGAAGUAUUCUUCUAUCUGCCUUGAGAUAAAUUUAUUUUCUUGGUGUAUAACUCUUCUAAGCUAGGUUUCCAGUUAACCAAAGGUGACGGCAUGACCAAUUAUUUCGUUCUUCCCAAUUUGAUUUUCACGUUGUCUUAAUGCACAGGAUUUCAUCAGUGUCGAUAUGGUUACGAAAACGUGUCCGAUCUUAAAGCUGUGGUUGCUGGCUAUGCAAAAGCUGGCAUCCCUCUUGAAGUUAUGUGGACAGAUAUUGAUUACAUGGAUGGAUAUAAGGAUUUCACUCUGGAUCCCAUCAACUUUCCAGUGAACUCAAUGCAAAAUUUUGUAAAUACACUCCAUCAAAAUGGACAGAGAUAUGUGCUCAUCUUGGAUCCUGGUAUGUAGUUAUAGAAAAUGAAUUAUCUUACUGCAGAAACAUUUUUUCAGUUUAUUUAUCGUGUCGAUCAAUAAGCCGGAUUAGAGCUCAUUUGUCACAAUAUCCUUUAUAUUUUCCCUUAAAAUAAUUCACUGAACACUAAAGUUUGUCGUAAUAUCUUACAAUGAGUAAGUAAUAUGUAUCACAGUAUACACUAAACGAUAUAAAGUUAUAAACUAUGAUUUGUGGUGAAAUGAUCUAUUCUUAUGUACGAAUUAUACGAAACAUUUUGAUAUAAUCGUCCAAAUUAUAGUAAAAAAAGAAACGCUAGCUUUUGAGGUAACCUAAGAAGUGUCUUGCCGGUUAACUUUCACUACCUAUUUUUCACCUAAUCUUUAGCUCCCUUUUCCUCUCCGACACAUACCCUCAAAUAUAUAGGGGGGUGGGGGAACAUUUUGUUUGUUAUUUUUUAUUUAAACUGGUAGGUUUUUAACCUAAAAUGUUAUAAAUUUUUGGUUUGAGUAAUUAUUUCAUUACUAUGGUACCAAAACAUCCCUAAUAUAUGUGUGUAUAUUUGCUAAUUACUAUGAAAGCUCUAGACAUAAAAUAAAAUAUAAAAAAAGAAAAGAAAAGAAAACUUGAAAAGGCCAGAACAUACAUUAUCCAUCAUAAAUCUUGCCCAAGCCUAAUACAAACUUUGUUUUAAGAAAUCAAUUUACAUUUUAGCAUAGAAAUCAUUAAUUUACAUCUUUAAUUUCUGCUGAAAAAUCAUGAAUAUCUUUCAUUAACCUUUAUUUUCAUUUCAAAGUUUGAAAUUUUUUUUUUUUAAUAAAGGCAUUAGAUAAAAUUAUAAAUAUUUUUAAAUAAAUUCAUCGACACCUCUUUUUCUUAUCUUAAGGUGGAGCGUUAUUUAAAUCUCUCCAACAUGUAAUUGUGAAAAAUGAGCUUCUACAAUUUUAUAUAUUGCGUUUCUCUUUAUAUAUUUAUAUAUUUAUAUAUUUAUAUAUUUAUAUUUAUAUUUAUAUUUAUAUGGACUUUUGCAUUAAAUUUUAGUUGUGAUUUAUACUUACCCUCAUAGUUAUAUUGUACACAAUAUAUAAAAAGAAAAAAGGAAAUUUAAAUUUUGACAAAGUGCCAUUUUGUUAUAUAAAUUUUACUAGAUAAUAAGAGAAAGUACAUAUGCUUAAUUUUUUUUUUAAAAUUUCGGAAAUACAUAUACUUUGCAUUCGGGUUUUGUGCAAACUAUAUAUGUGAUAAAAAAAUUUGGUCAUCAACAUCAGAUAACAUUAGAACAUCACUCUUUGCAGAUAAUAAUCAUAAAAUUAAUUUAUCAUUAUUAAAUUAAUAAUAAUAUUAAUUUUAUUAUUUUAGUUAUUAUUAAUUAUUUGUAUUAUUAUUUUUAUUAAUAUUAUCAUUAUUAUCAUUUAUUAUUAUUAAUUUUAUUUUUUUAAUUAAAAUUAUUUUUAUAAUAAUAUUUACACAUGUAUCUAGUUAAUGAAAAUUACAUUAUUUAAUACUAUGAGUAUUUUGGUAAAUUGACUCUCAUUCUCAUUCCUCAUUCCCAUUUAUUUUGCUAAGUAAACACAUUAAAGACAUUCCUGCACAUUCUCAUUCUCAUUUAUUUUUUGUAAGUAAAUAUUGGAAUCUCAUUCUUAUUCCAACUCAUUCUAUAUAGUAAACGCAUCAUAAAAAUGAAGAUUUCAUAACUAUUUUUAGGGGUGUUCACGAAUUGAAUUUUACGGAUUGGAUAUCAAUCCAUAUCGAAUCCACGAUUUUGCGGAUUAUAAAUUUUUAAUCAAAUCCAAUCCAUGGAUUAGUGAAAUUCAAUCCAAAUGUCUGUAGAUCAGAUGCAGAUUUAACCUAAUCUACCAUUUUAUAGAUUGGUUUGCAAGCUAAAACUUUUUAAUCAUAUCCUAUCCACGAACUAACUAAAUAAAAAAAUUAAUAUAAAAAUAAUUUUACUAUCAAUCAAAUUUAAAAUUAAAUAAGAUUUAAAUAAAUUAGUUGUUUAAAUAAAAUUAAAAAAUACAUUCAAAGUUUUAAAAUAUAACACACCAAAAAGAAAAAAAUUUCAAAGUUUUGUUUAGAUCAGUACAUGAAAAUUAACUGCCUGGAAGCUAUAUUUUUUAUUUAAUUAUUGUUAUUUUAUAUUAUUAUCGGAUAAGACAUAAUAUGAUGUUAAUUUAACUAUAUUUUAACUUAUUUAUUUAUUAAUAAGUAUAAUAUCAUAUUUAUAAGUUUAAUUUUUCUAUUAAAUAAAUAUUUUUUAUAUUUUUUUACUGAUUCCCAAAUUUUUACGGAUUCACAAAAGUAAAUCUAUAUUUAAUCCACCGACUGCGGAUUUUUAAAUUUUCAAUUCAAUCUAAUCCAUCAAUCCACGAAUUAAAUUUGUACAGAUCGAAUUUAUACGGAUUAGACUGAUUGAGCGGAUCCGAUUAAAUUCUAAACACUCCUGACUAUUUUAGUCAACUUUGCUUCGUCACUGUUUGGCUGUCUGGGUAACUGAUAAGGGUCCUUCUAUCUUACAUGCAUGUAAGAUAUAUUCCUCUCACAUGAAUAGUGUGUGGGUCCCACACAUAUACUAUUCAUGUGAGGGGGAUGUAUCUUACAUGCAUGUAAGAUAGGGUUUGCCAACUGAUAAUAGAUAAAAGUCAAAAUAAGAGACAAGAGUUAUAAUUGGCCAUUUCAAGCUCAAAGUGUAAACGUGCCCAGUGCCAAUUCGAAGUUUGAAAAGAAACGUGGGUUAAGUGGACUCUAUCAUCUUAGAAAAAAUGAAGAAACCAGAAAAAAUGAAGAAACCAGAAAAAACUGCUGCUGCUUCUUAUCAUCAACAUCUUUCAUUAUUACUUUUAUUUCUCUAUUGCAUUUUUGUAGCUGCAGAGAAAGAUUCAGUUGGGUAUGGCUACUCUGUUCGAUCAGUCGCUGUUGACUCCUCACUGAAGUCGUUGACUGCUGGACUUGGCCUCAUCAGGUCCUCCUCUGUUUACGGACCUGAUAUUCAGAGCCUCAAUCUUUUUGCCAGGUUUUAAAAUUUACAACUUAAUUGUUCCUUGCUUUUAUGUAUUGUUCACUGACUGUUGGACUAAGCAGUCAGCGAGAAAGACUUGUUUCAAGUUCUAAAUUCGAUAAGCUAGUGAUUUUUGAUGAUUUUUGGUUUGUGACUCUAAGAUUGAUUGAUCUGAUUAUGCUCUGUUUCCCUUCAGCUUUGAGACAAAAGACCGUUUGAGAGUUCGAAUAACAGAUUCCAAAAAACAAAGAUGGGAAAUCCCGCAGGAAAUCAUCCCCCGCCAAUCCUAUUGCACUCACUGCUGGCUGCCGGAAAACAGACUAAACUCACCGGUAAACCACCAAACAGGGCCGGGAAACCACUUCCUCUCCGACCCCAC
rnacentral:lncRNA from 1 species